rnacentral:rRNA from 1 species
GUGCACCAGUCGAGAAUUUUUCUCAAUGGGCGAAAGCCUGAAGGAGCGACGCCGCGUGGAGGAUGAAGGCCUUCGGGUUGUAAACUCCUGUCAUUUGAGAACAAGUGCCAACAAGUAACUACUGUUGGCUUGAUAGUAUCAGAAGAGGAAGGGACGGCUAACUCUGUGCCAGCAGCCGCGGUAAUACAGAGGUCCCAAGCGUUGUUCGGAUUCAUUGGGCGUAAAGGGUGCGUAGGUGGCGCCAUAAGUCAGGUGUGAAAUUUCGGAGCUUAACUCCGAAACUGCAUUUGAUACUGUGGUGCUUGAGGACUGGAGAGGAGACUGGAAUUUACGGUGUAGCAGUGAAAUGCGUAGAGAUCGUAAGGAAGACCAGUGGCGAAGGCGGGUCUCUGGACAGUUCCUGACACUGAGGCACGAAGGCCAGGGGAGCAAACGGGAUUAGAUACCCGUGUAGU